AGGGGUGGGACCAGUUUUCAAAAGCGGACGACCGGAAAAACCGCCGCGUCUAGAGCCUCGCCCCUGGGUGCAGAUGGGUGCGGAGCCGGCCAAACUGUUUUCACCCCGUGUGGCUCCAAGCUCUGCGCCAGCCCUCGCGGAAGCAGAGUCUUUCUGAUGACAACGCUGUAAAUGGCCACCAACCAGGACGUGAAAGAGCGAUCCGUCCAUCUCCUGGCACCCUGGGGCGCCAUGAAAAGGAAGGAUUGAUUUAUGGAUCUGGAGAUUAAGUUGAUUUUCAUGUCGGCUUCUCAGAAUGUUCAAGAACAUCCACAUCCCAUGCGGAAGGCUCCAUGUCCUGCUGCUGAUGGUGAAGACCUGCAUGUGGGGUGAGGGGUAGAGGGGGAAUUACAGAGCAAAUGACCAAUUUUUUUUCCCUAUCAUUGUGGCAUCAGGAAGAGAAGCUGUGUUACUUUUGGAUGCACUGUUUUAGCAGCAAAAACUUACAAACUUAACAACAUGGGGGAAAAAAGAGAAAAUAUAAGAGUAAACAGACGUCAGGGCUCUGGAGAGCACAGGUGUUCACACACGGCUGAACCUGCAUCAAUGGGAUGCCAAAUUCGCAGUGAAAAAUCUCCCUCUUGAGACACCCGGGCGGCUCAGCCAGUUGAGCAUCCGACU